rnacentral:snRNA from 1 species
CAGCUCUGGUUCCUCUGCAUCCACCGAGAAAUUCUUUCGCCUUUUACUAAAGAUUUCCGUGCAGAGGAACGUUUAUGAGUAUACGCCAAUUUUUGGAGUCCCAGCUUCGGCUAGGGAC